rnacentral:misc_RNA from 1 species
AAGUCGUAACAAGGUUUCCGUAGGUGAACCUGCGGAAGGAUCAUUGCUGAUGCCGGCGGCGCGCCCGAUGAGGUCAAACUCCUCGGAGGGCCGCCGCUUUAAACAUCAUCCGCCCCUUUGUGAACCUGGCAUCGAGGUGAGCCUGAGCUUUAGGGGCCCAGGCAGGUUGUUACCAACCAAAUCACUUCCCUGCCCAAACCAACCUGUCUUUUAUUGCCUGUCUCCCCAGACUGAAGCAAAAAAAAACAAAAACAUAUCUUACAACUUUUAACAAUGGAUAUCUUGGCUCGC